rnacentral:misc_RNA from 1 species
CUUGCUACCCUACGCUCGCUACUGUUUCCCUCUCUCUCUCGAUCUCUUUUUUUCCGUUCUUGCUUUCAAACACCAGUCAUACACAUAUAGAUAUAUACUAUUAGUGGCCCAUCUCUCCCUUCAUGUGUGUGCCUCUUGUACUCUUGGCGUUGUCGUGUUGUCCUGGUCAGCUUCUAUUACGCACUCUCUCUCUUUUUCGUCGUGUGUGCCAACACCACCGAAGGCGAACAGAGGUGCAAGCAAGGCUGGCGCUGCCCCUUCUUGUUAAGCGUAAACUAACGCAUACGGACACGUACAAGCUGCCCGAAGAAAAAUAGACAGUACGCUGAAGGAAAAAGAGGCGCACACCCCACCACCUCCUCCUCCAACAAGCUGUACGUACACGCGUACACGAGCAAAGGGUGAACAUUAACCAACCGCCAAUCCGUCAAGGGAAACUCUUCAUUGAUCUCAUUUUCUUUCGUCCUUUGAGGCAUCUAUAGGGCGGUGCUUGUGUGCCCCUCUCUUUCUUCUCGCUCCCGCCUCCCCUCGCGCGCCCUUCACAGCAUCGGUGUCUUUCUAGUUCCCUUCUUCUUUUCUUUCACCCCUUCUCCUCCGCCUUUGGCCGUGUCCGUCUCAUUGUGCGCUUAGUUUUGUGGCUCUUUGUACCUCCGUUGGCGUCGCCGUUUCCUUUUUUUUUCGGUUGCUCGCUCCCCCCCACCACCACCACCACCACCGUCCCCUCAACGUCAUCUUGUUCUAUGCGUUGUCGCUAUAUUUUUUGCUCCCUUUCUCUCUUUUUCUUUUUACUGCUUCACUGAAGCUCUUGUACGAACCGAGUACCUCAGCCUCUUAUCUUGUUUGCAUUGUGGUCCUCUCUUCCUCCCUCUCUCCCUCCCUCGCCCCGUGUUUUUUCUUUCGCCGUCCCUCUUCCUCUACUGUGUGUGUGCGCGCGUGGGUAGGUGUAGGUCUGUGUCCCAUUUUCGCUUUCUUUGCGAUUCUAGUGUUUACUUCUACGGUUGGUUUGGGUCCUCCGCCUGUUUCUGUGGAACUCCGCAAUUACGCCGCCGCCGCCGCCCACCCUCUCACCACCCCAUUCUCUCACAGCCUCAGCGGUUUCGGCUUCCCUUUUUUUUCUACCAAAAGGGGUCGACAAGGGAAAACGAAACUCCAGCCCAGGAGGGUAGCAGGAAAACAAACAAAAAGCGUGACGCAUCGGGCACGCACGCACAAGGAAAACAAAAAGGGAACCUGUCGUUUCGUUACCGCUGCAGCGCCAACACCAUUUUUUUUUUCGUUCUUCUCUCCUUUUGUGUGUCUGGCCUGCCCACCCCCUCCCCAACGGUACAGCCAGACGCACUCACGCCGACACAGGAUCGACGAACAAGGAGGAAGAAGGCAACGCUCGAUUUUUUCUCCUGUCAUCUCGACCCUCGCUGCGGCUGUUGUCUCCUUGCUCUUCAUUCUCCGUCUUUGAUAUCACUUUCGGCCUCUUCGGAGGGGAGUCCUUCUUCCCUUCCUUAUACUUUAACGCCUGUCGCCUUUCGCACCUUUGAGACGUUGCUGCUCCAGCUUCUGGUCUGAUUUGUUUUUUUUUUCGCUGUUGUGCAUCGUUCCCCUUCAUCCCUCUUUUCGACUCGUACAUCUUCCUGCUUUGUGGGCUCGCUUGCUCGUGCAGAGCCCUUCUUUUGCAAAUAAAGACGAUGAGCAAGCCGUUGAACGCGCUGGUGGUCUGUGGACCCUCUGGAGUAGGCAAGGGAACCCUGCUGGGCCGCCUCCUCCGCGAGUACCCCAACCGCUUUGCCUACUCGGUGUCGCACACAACACGUCAACCGCGCCAGGGAGAGGUGAAUGGCCGCGAGUACCACUUCACCGACCGCGAGAGCAUCCUCAAGAUGCGCGACAAUAACGAGUUCCUCGAGCUGUGCGACGUGCACGGCAACUUCUACGGCACGAGCGUUGCCGCCGUGCACGCUGUGCAGAAAGAGGGGAAGGUGUGCGUCAUCGAGAUUGAUGUGAAGGGGGCACAGAAACUGUUCAACCGUAACGAUAAUGCGCUGAACGCUGUGUACUUCUUUAUCACGGCCCCCAGAGAGGAGCUGCGCAAGCGUAUCAUGAAGCGUGGCGCCGAUGACGAGACGAUGCUGCAGCGGCGUCUAGAGACGGCCGAGUUAGAAUACAAGUUCGUCGAUGAGAAUCCCGACUUCUUCUCUGUGCUGCUGGUAAAUGAUGAGCUAGAGGCAGCGUACGCCGCCCUCUUGGCCGCCAUCGACGACCAGCUGGUGAAGCACAACAUGGAGAAGCUGGCUGCAUAGACGUAGGGUACUUGGCGAGCAACCGUGUAGUGUGUGUCAGCCUUAUGGACAAGGUGGUAGCGCGUCCCUCAGUUGGAAUAACGUCGUGGAGUACAAGAGUAAGAGAAGAAGCAGGCAAAAGUGAAGCGAGCAACGGAGCAGUGCGCAAGCAACACUCGAAGAAGAUGUUACGUCGGGGCUCGCUUAUGGGGUACCAUGGAGUCGUAAGAUGAAGGCCGAAUCCCGUCCCCUCACACGACGACGAGAAGCGCUGGUGGUGCAGGGGGAAGUACGCACGUAAUAAUACGCAAGACGGCUGUAUAUCUCCCUCUAAGAGAAGAUCCAAUCGAAGAAGACACCCGAGAAGAAGCGUUGGUGUCUGAGACACCUCAUGCUAGUGGAACGCUCCUACUCUCCUACCCCCUCUCGCGUCCCUCAAUCGGUGCCUACGAUGGACGUCAUGCGCUGCCGCUUCUGCGAUUGAUGGGCGCCAGGCAGCGGUGCCUAACAAGGAGGGAGAAAGGGACUGGACUGUACACAUGGUCGGUGUGGUGAAAUUAAAGUCAUUGUGUUAUCAUUGUCACACUUAUGAUCCUUUGUUUUAUUUUUUUUUUGCUAGUGUGUGUUGUGUUACCUCUUUUUCGUGAGGAGGGGAGGGGGCAGGAAGAGAAAGAGGAGGAGGUAAGGUACCACUCCGCGUGCUUCUCCCCUCGUUGUUGUUGCUGUCUUGUUUGUUUUACUUCUUUUUCGAGCUGCUGUCGCGAGGGACUUCAAGACGCCUCUCAUAAUGUUCUCUCUCUCCCUUCUUUCGUUCCUUUACCCAUUUUUGUUUUGUGCACCCCCCCACCCACACCUUUUUUCUUUCGGUUAUCAUGUGGCUGCUCCUGUGUGUGCCGAUGUUUGUUACUCGCUGGAUGUCGCACUGAAAUGUGUCUGGAUGUCGUCCAUCACGCCCUCAUAGUGUUCCCCUCUCCCUUCCUCGUUUAAGUUGCAUAUAGCUCUUGAUCUCACUAGCUCGGCAGUGUGCAUGCAGUACCCCUCUAAAGAGGUACGUGAAACCCACAUCAAAGGGGUGCAGGACUUGUUAGUGUUAUGCGGCCUUCGCGAGUUGAGCUGGGGGAGUGCGAAGUAUGUUAGAGAGACGCACGGCCGACGCCAUGGCCUGAUUGCGCCACGGACGCACGCCAUGCCGGCUGGCUGCUCGUUGAUAUCGCCCUCGCCUCUUUCCUUUCCUUUGUGUGUGUGUGUGUGUCUUCCUCUACUGUGUUCGUAGGCUAAACGCGUAUCUGGCACUGUGGAAGGGAGGGGACGCGAGGGGUAGGCCUCACCACUUAGCCAUGGGUGUCCUAUAUCUGUGGCCACGCAUACAUGUGUGCGGGUGCUCCCCUCUACGCUGUUUGGGAGGGGGAGCAGGCCAUCGAUAAAGUCAACAGGUAUGUGAUCUGCGGGACCUAUCGGAUCAGAAACGCGAGAAGCAUACACAUCCUCGCACGCGCGUCUGCAGAGCACAUGCGUCAGUGAACUGUGCCGAUGUCGCUGCUCACAUGAAAGCGCCUCUGUUCUCUCCCUCUCUCUGCUUUGUUCUUUCGGUUUGUGUAUUGGCGAGGCAGACGGACGGGCCAACAGUAGAGAAGAGGCGAGGAACGAAGGGGCACAUGCGGAAGAGGAGGCGAAUCCCAGAGUGUGCGCGAAGGCGCAGGAAAAAGCGGCUGCAUUCUUUUCGGUAUCGCCACGCUGUCCAUCUCAUCCUCGCCUAUCUCGUGAUACUCGCCGUUUUGUUCGCUUCGCACCUCUCUUCUAUCCUUCCCCUCCUCCACCCUUGUGCGCGCAUAUCACGCUCUUCGAUUUCUUUGUGGUGCUCCUCGUGAGCUCUUACGGGUGUUUUUUCGCUUGUCUAUUUCUUCUCUUUAGUGCCUCUUGCUUCGCCCCCCCCCGCCGCUGGAACAUCAACGCCGUGAGCUCAGUACGCGCACGCACACGCAUGUGUCUGUGCGCCUCUUCUCAAUGCGAGUGUGGCCCAUCUGAGUGCCAAACCUCUUUGCUGUGCAUCAUGUCAGGAGCAAUGUGCAGCCCGGGGGAAGGAAAGGAGCCGAAGGCGAAGAAAUAAAAUGCCCACGGUAUACUGCGCUGUGUUG